rnacentral:misc_RNA from 1 species
UUAACUAUUGUAUAGUACUCAGACGACACUUAAUCAUUCAGGGUUUGGGCUCCACUGGCGGGCACUCCCCCGCCGAAGCCGGGGCGUGGCUGGGCCUCGGGCCCGCCAAAGCAACAAAUCAUGGUAUUCAAGGGUGGGAAUUCUAGCCCCUCGCGGGGCAUAGAAGACACUGUAAUGAUCCUUCCGCAGGUUCACCUACGGAAA